rnacentral:lncRNA from 1 species
ACGGCCGGCCGCGUGGACGCCACAGCCCGGCCGAGCCUCUGCCUCGCCACCGUGGGAGUCGCCGCGGCCACGACGCCUUCAGCCCCGGCGCCCCUCCGCGUCUACGACGGUGUCGACCGCGAGCCCCCGUGCUGUCAUGGAGCUUACCUCGUCGAGCCGACACGCCGUCGACAGAGCCACCGAUGCCGCGCGCCGGGCACCAGAGCAAGCCCCUUCGCCGAGCACCCGAUGCGCCCCGUUGCCGCGGCCACGCCAGGACAUCGCCAUGGUCACCGCGUCAGCGCCGGCCGUGGUGAUCGCGACCCCGACCACGACGCCGUGCUCAUCUUGCCACGGUGACCGCGAACUUCCCUUUUGCUGGCUGCCGAUCACCACUGAACGUGCAGCAGCGGCAGCACCACCCCGCGCGAAGCUCUUCUCUGCCGCCGGUGAGCCACCAGUGCCCAAGUGCCCUCCUUGCUAGCUUUCUGUUUUGCCUUGCUGAAACCGGCCUUUGUGCCGUGUUCUUCACUGUACAGGGAUGCUGCACCCAUGUCGUGCCACUUGCCGGAGCCGUUGGACUUAACAUCGCUGCUGUUGGAGCACCGAACCUCGAGGCGUUGCCGAACCCCAAGACUUCUCUUUCAGAUGCACCCCGGCCACUUGCAGCAAGCCGCGACCAAGCUGUAGAAGCCCUCUGCCAUCCUCGCCCGCAAGGUCGAACCUUGAACCUAGCCGACAUCGUCUCCGACGUUGGCAAAACCCUUGCCGUUCAUUUCGAUAUCAUACAUGCCAUGUAUCUUGCUCAUGUAUGCAUUAUGAUCUAUCUGCAUGACCAUUUGUUCAUCUAUCCAUGUCAUGCACUUGUUACAUGAUUAUUCAUCUCAUAUCUCGUUUAAUGCGCGAUCUAUCUUCGUCUAUAUCUCUGCCUGUGCCGUGCCUUCGUGCCGGUCUAUUUAUCUAUCUCUAUCUCUUUUGGUCGCUAUGGAAAUGUGCUACUCCGAGUCGUCGUCUUGUUAGUGUUGCAAUUUGUGCUUUUGUUCUUGUCGUUGUGGACCGUGCCGUCGAGCCGGUUGAGAGAGUGACGUGUUUGGAUGUUGCGAUCGCGAGUUCGUCUCGCCAUGGCCGUAAUGCCGAGCAUGUCCCUUCUCUCGUAUUUCUGUUGUUCCUUCUUUUGUUAUUUGCAUGCCUGAGGACCGAGCCUUCGAGCCGGUUAGGGAAAAUGGUGGAGCGUUCGAUCAUUUCGAUCGUGGGUUCGUCCCGCCGUGAUCGCGAUGCCGAGCGUAACUCAUUCCCUGUGAUUAGUUGUCUUCGCUGCGCUACGGUCGUUAGCUCCUAUUCCCGUCCCUCGAACGUGGUCAUCGUGGACUCGAUGUCGUUAACGACGCGGUUCUUACCCGCACACUCGAGACCUAAAUGACCUAGUCUAGUGGGAUACGAAUUAGGGGACAACCUUCGUAGAACUAUCGGAGAAACUCGUUAGGUGAAGCUCAUGGCCGCGAGUCCACCUUGCCAUGGCCAUUGGGCUUUACCCCAUUUCUCCCGUGUUUAUCCUAACCACCUCGUAUGCUUGUACCACUUCGACUAUAGCAUUCCCUCGGACCUAGCGGUGACAACCACAUCGCUAUGGGCCUUAGGAAUAGCCUUGUGCUGAUUUAGAUGCACAGUCAUGGUGCCCUACAAGUGGGUUGGGAUCGUGGGGUCGUAUUCCUUUUAUCCAACCGUCGUUGUUCCAUGAUGAGUUGGUCGAAAGAGUAUGGACUCCAUUCUUCUUCUCUCUUGUUCUCAAUCCCGUCGAUCCAGUAAGAUGGGGAUUAAGCCCCUUUUGCUUGUUUGAUGUUUUGUUUCCAAUCCCGCGAUUCCCGCCGUUGCUAUGGCGAGCGGAUCAAAGGAAGGUGAAUCCCGUGUCUUUUUCCGCCUUUUUGGUUCUUCGUGCUUAAACUCUUGUAUGCUUGUACCUAUAUCGAUCGUAGCAUUUCUUUGGUUCUUGUGGUGACAACCGCACCGCAAAGAACCUUAGUGAUGUCAUAGUGCAUUUAGUGCACCUAGGUUGUGGUACCCUACAAGUGGUUUGAGUACUCGUGUUCCUUAUGUGUCACUCUUUCUAAUCCCCCGUCUCUUACCAUGGCGAGUGGAUGGGAAGAAGUAGACCACUCCCCUUUUCUUCUUUCCUUGUUCCACCCUCUCUUGGCUCUCGCCAACUACAAUGGCGUAUGGAUUGAGAGAGACCGGAACUUCGCGUGCUCAUAGUCUUUUCGAUUCUUGUCGAUCUCCGUGAUGCUUGGAUCGAAGAGCCACUACCUAUGGUGUUUGCUUAUGAUAAGUUAGGGUCUAAGCCAAUUAUUAAAGUCGUACAGGUUGACUUAGUCGACCCAGGAAGUACCGGCUAGGCUAAGACUCCAGCUUGUACUUAGUGAACAACCAUUCCCAUUUCUUUUAGCCCAAAGAUCGGACAUCCGCCGAGAGGGCUAAGCCGUUUUCCUUUCGUUGCUCUUUUAGUGUAGUUGUUCCUCAGUGUUAUGUCGUCUCUUUUCGUAGUCUUUCGAGGUCUAGUGGUUUGAUUGUUUCGCCUUGUUUGUCGCUUUCGAGGUAGUCGCUUCGAGGUUAGCGUUGAUCGGACCAGGACCAGUUGAAGGAAGAACAUGUAGAAAGGAGGAUCUUGGAUGAGUACAACUACAAGUGAACUGAGGAUCUUGGAAAUGUCACUCGACAGGUGCCACGUCCCACCCAACCUCGUAGAAUCCUAUUAGACAUGCAAUAAUGUAGAUGCUAGUGCUUUACUUUUAUGCAAAUGAAUUGAGAUAGGUUGCAUGGUAGAAAUGCUUGUGAGCCAUUGCCUUGUUGCAACCUAUAACCCUCGCACACCCGCUGUUAGGUUAGACGCUUGCAUACUACUUGCUACUGCUUCUACUACGCAUUAUAUCUGUGAUGUGAUGCAUUGUGGAGGAUUGGAUGUGAGUGGAUAAGGCACGUGGUGCCGAUAACUGGAUAAGAAAUGGAUAAUGGACUUGGGGAGAUCUUGGCGUGUGUCUUGGGUGUGUGGUGAGGGUUGAGUCGACCGAGCAGGAUUUACGACGAGUCUUGGGACAAGUCUUGCCGGGGAAUGCUACCUGGGCGUUCUCCAUGAGAGAUACCUGUGGCGGGUACAUGUGACAGGGAGAGGUCCCGGAGUGGAGUGUCUUCGUGGGACGAAGCACCGGGAUGGGAGGUGCUGUAUAGCACGGGGUAGCCGGGUGUCCCGUCGAGAGGGGCAUCGGCUGGCCCCUCGUGAAGAUGUCCUGUUCGGUUACCCUAAGGACUGAGAUGUUCUGAGAACCGGUUCGUAGGAAGCCUUACACGCCACUCGCCUUAUUAUGGUGCGGGACGGAUGUACGACCAGCUAGUGCGGUGCCACUACUACUAGGUUGAUAGCGGAUAGUGUAGGGAGGUACGGGCAUGAGGACCCACACCCUCCUAAGACAGCGUAGUGACCUUUGGGGGCCCGGUACUACGCCUCACAGUCUCAGCAUGCCGGUGGUACUCCGGUAUGGCCCCAGUCCUGAGUGGUAGGGUGGCAUCGUAUUUAGUUGGAAGGCAGCCCGGUAUCAGCCUAGACGAGCCGGUUCGUCGAUGAUGGUGAUCUUGUGGUUAGUGUAAACCUCUGCAGAGUUUGGUUGAUCGAUCGAUACAUAUGCCGUCUUCUCGGCUAUGGACCUUUCCUAUGUUCCGCUUCGCUUGACUAGUGAGAGGAGUCCCUUCUAUCUUCCCCUGGGUUUGUGUUGGAUCCGGCGUUGGCCGUUGAGGCAAGGCACGAGCGGGAGUCGUACUUGCCGCCUAGAGAGUGAGAGUGUGGUGAGAUGUGUGUGAUGGGAUGGAUGGAUGGAUGUGUGGAUGAGAUGGAUUAAAACUUGAUGAAUUAUUAUUAUUAAAAUAUUGAUGAACUUGCAUAGAAAAAACUACAGCCAUAUAUAGGCCUCUUGAUCUACCCUUUUGCAUUCCACUUACCACAAAGCUUACGCAAAAGCAUAGGGUGGGAGCCAGUGGCCAGUACAAAUCGUACUGAAAAUUGUUUAGCAGGUUUUGAACGUGAUCUAUGACGAUAACUACGGAGAAUAGAAGGAUUAGGUGGUCUCGUUCCUGCGCUCAAGUUUGGUUCAGAGAUGAAGGCUGCGCCCGCUGAUAAACUACGCCGACUCUGAUGAUUGUCCGUGAAGGAGGAGCCUUCACCGCUGUCGCGCUACAUCGACUCUGAUAAAGACUCGCGUGUGUUUCCGCUAGAAAAACAAUGUAAUAAGCUUGUUAAUCAAGAGUUGUAAAGCAAAUGUGUUGUAAUCUUGUUUCUCACGAUGUAUGACUACGAUAACAGCUGAUAUAUGAUAAUGCGAUGGUUCAAUUUUUGAAUUAUCACAUUAUAAUUCGAAUCUGUGGAUUUUUCCCUUUGUGGAAAAAUCUGGGUCGUUUCAGUUGGUAUCAGAGCCAUACUUGACCCUAGGACGAGACCAUUAGGACCAAACACUAGUUUAGAAGCCAAACAUUCUAUCUUUUGUAGAGUUAUAGAUGCUAACACUUGUUUUCCCCCCUCCGCCUUGAAUUCUGUUGCUAACUGACCUCCCUGUUUCAUAAAGUUGACCGUUGGAAUCUUUUCCCAUACCCGCCCACGCUAGAUCGGUAGUCGUGUGAGACUUUGAAGGUCUGUGAGUCGCCUCAAGUCAACACUAUGCAUUAGGAGUUGUAAUGCUGAUUGAGUGCUUGGAUCUUAUGUUCUUGCGUUUCGUCUGCUUCUUGUUGUUUGAGUGUAUGUCAUAGAACUGUUUUAUGCGAGAAAAACUCUGGAUCCCGUCCAAUCUAGCUGGCUAAACCUAAGACUGUCCCGAAACUAGAUAAGUGACCCUGGCUAACAGAGCCGAAAAAGGGUUUAAAGCUGAUGCAUCAUGUCUUGCCCAUCUAUUUCAAAACUGUUUUUGGCUUCCAACUAAACUUGUCUUCAAAAUUGCCCUUUUGUUGAAAAAGUUUCUCUCCUUUUUGGUUGAAAAAGUUUAUCUCUUUUACAAAACAUCUUGGUUUCAAAAGGAAAAGUGUUUCAAAACUCUCUCAAUAUUCUUCCCUUUUCACAAAUAAAGCAAUUUUAACCCCCCUUUCUCAACUCAAACUCUAUUUAUGAAACGGUUUAAAAACAAGUUAUCUUCAAAAGGUGUUACCAAUCCUCUUUCUGAAAAUCAAAAGUUCUACCUUCAACCAACAAAGUGGUUUUCAAACCAAAGAUCUUUGGCUCAGUUUUGUUUUAAAUGUCUUUGAUUUUAUCUCAAGAGCCAAAUUCCUUUUAAAAUUCAACCUUGCCUUAAAAGAAAAAGGAAUUCCCAGUGAUUUAUUAAACAAAAACCAUUGUGAAAAGUUUUUGUUUAGCAACCUUUCAAAAAAAAGAACGAAAUGGACUUUCAAGUUUCAAAAAUGUUUUGGUUGUGAAGGCUCUAACUUUCAAAAUGCGAAAUGAUUUCUUGUUAUUUUCAAAACUAAUUUGUUUGACUCUAAUAAAAAGGGAGCAAUACCUUGUUUUAAAGAAAAUAGUAAUAAUAAAAUGAAAGAAUUUUAAAAUCUUUUGAUUUGAAAUCUUUUAUAAUAAAACCUUCAAAAUAUUUGGUUCUCAAAACUUGUAUUGAAUUCAACCCUCUGCAAAAGCUCUCUUCAUUUUGAAGUCUCAAAAAAAAAAUUGACUUUGUAAAAUCGCUUUCACUCCAUUUAUGAAACCUGUUUUUUUCCGAAAAACAUUCCUUUCAAAAGCUUUUUGCAAAGAGUGAUGCAUGAAAAACCGCUAGUGAAAGCCAACAACCCUAGCUAUGUUUAAGCCUGCCAUGCACUCCUAGAGAGCCAGAUGUUCAUCAACCUGGUGCGAUUCUUGGAUACCCAUCGCCUUGUUGUGAGAAUUUGGAUACCCAACACCAGCGAGUGAGCCUUGGAUACAUCCUGAACAUGACUCGCCCCCACAUGGAAAAGGUUUGUGGAGCCAUCUUUCUGAUAGCAGUUAACUCAAAAGUAAGAAGAACUUCUGAAACGACGCCCUCGUUUCUUCACCGACCGAGCAACGCCUAAAUCUCGGGACGAGAUUCCUGUAAGGUGGGUGGACUGUAACAUCCCGGAUUUUUACAAAAACCAAAAAUACGAACUUUUUAAAAUUUUUCCUGUAAUCGUGUGAAUCAUAUAGUAUUUAGGUCAAACUCGAUCCUAACCCGCUAACAAAUCGUGGCAUACAUAUAGAUUUGUUUGUAGACGGGUCGUCUUAAGUUGGAUCUUGUUAGGGUUUUGAGUUUCUUUUGGAGUGCACAAAUCCGUAGCAAAGCCUUCCCGAAUUUUCGUUGAGCCUAUCUCAAAGGCGAAGCGGAUCCCUUCUCAACCUUUUCGUUGGAGUACGUCUCAAACUCCUUUUGAUCCUUUUGAACUCUCCCUGAAAUUCCCUUCUCUCUCUCUUUGAUCUUAUCUAAAUCUCCUCCGCAAAAUCUAUCUUAAAUUCAUGGUAACUCAUCUCAAUCUCUUGUUGAGUUCUCUCUCGAAUGCCCCUCAUUUUUUUUUCCCUUUUAAAAUUUCUCUCAAAGCCCUUGAGUCAAAUUCGUAAAUGGAAGAUCCAUCUCCUUUCAUGGGCCAAUUCUUUCCUCCUCUUCCUCCCUCCCUCGGCCCAGCCUGGGCACCCUUCCCCCCUGUCCGGCCCAACUCGCGCGCGCCAAGGCCCAGUCUGCCCCUUACCCCCCAGCCAGGUCGGCCCACCUCGUUCCCCCUGUCUCCCCUCCGAGGCCCAGCUCUUUCCUUGGCCCAUCCAGUGCCGCGCUGGCCCAUUCGCUUCUCCCUGCUCUGGCCCAAGUCGUGGCCGGCCCAGCAGCCAGCGCCCCAGCCCCAACCCUAGCAGGGAGCUGGACACCUGAGCCCCAGAGCCGCCGCCGCCGUCGCCCAAGGCAGAGCCGCGCCAGCGCUCGCGCCUGCCACGGCUUCCGUGCGACCCCGCAUCCACCGCCGCGUGUCCCGCUGCGGACACGGACGCCGAGGAUGGCCGCAGCGUCCCUGGAGCCCUAGCGCCCGCGCUAUAAAAGCGGCAGCAGCCGCUCGCCCUUCUUCUACCCGCCGCCGCCGCCAUAGCCGACUCGAAGCUCCGCACCCUCACCAAGCGCCUCGACCCCGACCUCGCCCCGCGCACCUGCACCACCGAGCUCGGUCACGCCGUGACGCCGUCGAUCGCCACCACGAUGUCGCCCGCAACUGCGUCGCCCGAGCGUCUCGUCCUCGGCACCACCUCGGCACUCGCACCGCGCCCUCGCCGAGCAGCAGCAGAGCCGCGGCCAUGGCCUCGCCCUGCCGACGCCGCCAAGCACCACUGCGCCCGCCUCGGCCGUGCCCCUACCUCUGUGUCAAGCUUCAUCACCACGCGGGGGUCAGCCGCGGUGCCGUCCUCGCUGCGCAGCGGCCUCGCCCGGCGACGUCGAGCCCGCUGCCCUCGCCGCGUCGAGCUUCGACCACGGCCGGCCGCGUGGACGCCACAGCCCGGCCGAGCCUCUGCCUCGCCACCGUGGGAGUCGCCGCGGCCACGACGCCUUCAGCCCCGGCGCCCCUCCGCGUCUACGACGGUGUCGACCGCGAGCCCCCGUGCUGUCAUGGAGCUUACCUCGUCGAGCCGACACGCCGUCGACAGAGCCACCGAUGCCGCGCGCCGGGCACCAGAGCAAGCCCCUUCGCCGAGCACCCGAUGCGCCCCGUUGCCGCGGCCACGCCAGGACAUCGCCAUGGUCACCGCGUCAGCGCCGGCCGUGGUGAUCGCGACCCCGACCACGACGCCGUGCUCAUCUUGCCACGGUGACCGCGAACUUCCCUUUUGCUGGCUGCCGAUCACCACUGAACGUGCAGCAGCGGCAGCACCACCCCGCGCGAAGCUCUUCUCUGCCGCCGGUGAGCCACCAGUGCCCAAGUGCCCUCCUUGCUAGCUUUCUGUUUUGCCUUGCUGAAACCGGCCUUUGUGCCGUGUUCUUCACUGUACAGGGAUGCUGCACCCAUGUCGUGCCACUUGCCGGAGCCGUUGGACUUAACAUCGCUGCUGUUGGAGCACCGAAC